rnacentral:rRNA from 1 species
GGAGAGUUUGAUCAUGGCUCAGGGUGAACGCUGGCGGCGCGCUUAAUGCAUGCAAGUCGAGCGUGCCCCUCGGGCUUCGGCCCGUUGGGGAAAGCGGCAGACGGCUGAGUAACGCGUGAGUAACCUGCCCUCUGGUGGGGUAAAACCACGGGAAACUGUGGUUAAUCCCGCAUAAGAUCCCACAGCCUUGGCAGUGGGAUGAAAGCCUUACGGCGCCAGGGGAGGGGCUCGCGUCCUAUCAGGUAGUUGGUGGGGUAACGGCCCACCAAGCCUAUGACGGGUAGCUGGUCUGAGAGGACGAUCAGCCAGAGGGGGACUGAGACACGGCCCCCACUCCUACGGGAGGCAGCAGCAGGGAAUUUUGGGCAAUGGGCGAAAGCCUGACCCAGCGACGUCGCGUGGGGGAUGAAGGCCUUUGGGCUGUAAACCCCUUUUCCAAGGGAAGAGUAAGGACGGUACCUUGGGAAUAAGCUCCGGCUAACUACGUGCCAGCAGCCGCGGUAAUACGUAGGGAGCGAGCGUUACCCGGAAUCACUGGGCGUAAAGAGCGCGUAGGCGGUUGGAUAAGUCUCUUGUGAAAGCUCCCGGCUCAACUGGGAGAGGUCAAGGGAUACUAUUCGACUAGAGGACAGCAGAGGUAAGCAGAAUUCCCGGUGUAGCGGUGGAAUGCGUAGAUAUCGGGAGGAACACCAGUGGCGAAGGCGGCUUACUGGGCUGUAUCUGACGCUGAGGCGCGAGAGCGUGGGUAGCGAACAGGAUUAGAUACCCUGG